UACGGAGGGUGCAAGCGUUGUUCGGAAUUAUUGGGCGUAAAGCGCGCGCAGGCGGCCUGGAAAGUCUAUGGGUGAAAUGCCGGGGCUCAACCCCGUGCAUGCCCAGGAUACUGUCAGGCUGGAGACACGUAGAGGCAGGCGGAAUUUCGGGUGUAGCGGUGGAAUGCGUAGAUAUCCGAAAGAACACCAGUGGCGAAGGCGGCCUGCUGGGCGUGAUCUGACGCUGAGGCGCGAAAGCGUGGGGAGCAAACAGG
rnacentral:rRNA from 1 species